GACAGAGGGGGCAAGCGUUGCUCGGAAUCACUGGGCGUAAAGGGCGCGUAGGCGGGAUGGCAAGUCGGUCGUGAAAUCCUUCGGCUCAACCGAAGAACGUCGGCCGAUACUGCCGUUCUUGAGGGAUGCAGAGGAGAUUGGAAUUCCCGGUGUAGCGGUGAAAUGUGUAGAGAUCGGGAGGAACACCGGUGGCGAAGGCGGCUCACUGGCCCGGAACUGACGCUGAGGUGCGAAAGCGUGGGGAGCAAACAGG
rnacentral:rRNA from 1 species